ACUGGCAGUAGAGAGACGUCCCUAUCCUUAGAAGAGUGCCUCUUUCCUCACAAGUGCACUUUCUGCGUUUGGGAAUUUCCCACGUCAUCAGCAUUCUCUCUCUGUGCCAAGAGGCUGUGUGUCACCUCACUGCACCCUUGAACGCCAUGUGGUUAGUCCUUGGUGUACUCGACCAAGGCUCUUGACUUGCUUUCAUGGGACGGUUUGUCUUUGUACUUAGAGCAUUUAGGAGAGCUUAGAAAGUCCCUGUAAAGGAUGUCGGUACAAAUCCUUCAUGUUCCAGUCAACCGCUGCUGCACAACAAACCAGCACAGAACUUGACUUGAGACAACAACAUUAUCUCCCAUAGUCCCGUGUGUUUAUGGACCUCAGCUACAGGUUCUUACGGGGACUCUCAUGCCAUUGCAUUCAGAUGUCGGCUGGGGCUGCGUCACAUGAAGGCCUUUCCAUGGACAUAGCAACCUCCUGGGCAUAACCUCGCCUCUCCUGACUAAUCUACCAGCCAACGAGAGAAAAGAGGGAUCUUGGGUCCUUGAACUCCCAGCACCACCAUCUCUCCUGUACUGCUCACACCGAACUUAUAGCCCGACAUAUUGGCGGCAAAGUCAAGGCAGAAGAAAGAGAAGGCCAUCUGGUGAAGCAGGGAAGGUGCUGGUAUUGUUACAGGUGGGACUGUGGGCGCUAAGGUGGGAAGAAGGUCCAGAGGAGGUGGCCAGCCCAUAUGCCACGUGCCUCUAGGCCCCCAUCUCUAUCCCAAGCCUCAGCAAGAGCUUCUAUGGGCAGGUGCUGACAAGGAGGCCAUCUUCAGCCCAGCAAGCAGAGUCGUCUGAGUGAAGGCCCCGCACAGCCUAACCCCUACUGCCCUCUCCAGCUUUCUCAUUCCCUCCUUCCACACGGUGCGCUGAAACCCACAGUUUCUCCCAACCUCUGUGCCUGUCUCUGGCCUUCUGCAUAUCCUGUUCCUGCCACUCAGAAUGUUCUGUUCUGGCUGCAGAGGCUGAAGUUCAUUCUGUAGGUCUGGACUUAAAAACAUCAUUUGCUCUAGAAAGACAGCUGCCCACCUGCGGAGCGCCCUCUGCCCCAUCUCACCAGGUCUCCCCAGCCUGCUGGGCCGUCAUUCUGUGGGGCUCGUCCUCUCAUCCUUUAGGUCACUGACCCAACACUAGAGCCUGGUCAGCAGAUGAAGCAGGCAGGUCAGCCAACAGCAACAGUAGGCAAGAGCCUCAUCCUUCCAGGAGGGGACCUUUCCCGUCAGGAUAACUGACCAACUGACCCCUGUACCAUGACCACCAGAUGGGUCAUUUGUGAGGCUCUUUCUUCCAUAAAAAAGAAGUCAGUGAGAUAAAAGGACUAUAUGAGCACUAAGUAGGAAGCUGGGUCAGUUUCCAGGUUUUGCACAAUAGUCAAGAUAUUCCUACAUACCCCACCCAAAGCUGACCAACGUUCUCUCCCAGAGAGGAAUGAGCAGGCAUGACCUUCCAUGCCAGGUUCUGAAAGCAAGGUCUCGACUCUUCCUCUUAGGACCUGCUUUGCUCCGUUCUGCCUGGGAGCUGGCUGUGUGUCCCCCAGAGCAAUAAUCAACUAUCUCUAGUUCCCUCCGCCCCAUACAGACAAAGAAGAAACCCAGGCAAUAGGGCAAAAGCGAAAUAAAUGAUAAAGAAUACAGUUCUCACUGAGAAGCCCACCAACAGUCUGAGCCUCCCUGAAAGCCUAUUGUCUCACACUGAAAUACCAAAGCAGCCCCAGGUGGCUCUGGGAGUGCUGGCCAAGAGAGGCAACCUUCCUCUAUCAGACAAUUUCCAUCCCCAUGGGAGAAACGCAUCCCCUGAAGUCCCCGGCCAUUGCAUGGACAAUGUCAGGACCGCACUCAUCUGCAAAUAAAACCCCUAUUUCCCGAAGACAGGUGAACCCCCACUCCCAAAGGGAACAGGACACAUAGACAUACUCUUUCUCCUUCUUCCCCCAUCCCAUGACUUUAUUUCUCCUACCUUAAAGAUGGUAGGCCAGAGUAAUUUGGAGAGAUCUUUGUAACACGUAUUCCCUCGUAAACAGUGGGGGGCCCAAAAACAUGCUGAUGGAACAAAGUCAAAGGAGAGCAGAGACAAGAGUUAAUGCUUGUUUAACCUAGGAUGUACCAUGUGCUAAAACAGCUGCUCUCAUUCAUUAACUUAUCAAUACCCACAAAAAUCUUCUGAGGUCCGAAUUGCCAUACGUUACAAGAGAUAACUGAGAAUCAGAGAGGUUCAGCAACUUGUCCAAGAUCACACAGCAGAGGUAGGAAAACCUAAUAGGAUCAUCUUUUUGUUGUUAUUAUGGUUUUCUCCUCAACUUAACAUGGCUGUUGGCCUUCUGCUCCCCCAGAAUGCGAAUCCGUCUGCUGUCAGGAGAAGACCUCUCCCCUCAUGCCUUCCCACCAGCUCCCCCAUUCCCCCCCAGGCCUGCGUGUUUGACAAACUGCAGGAGGGAAAGCUGCUCCAGGCACAGCUCAAGCUGCAAAGCUUUUAGGAAUGUGGGGUUUAAGACACCUUCUUUGAAUGAUCCCAAAUCUGUGAGACACAAAUAAAACCCAGAAUUCUUCAGCUGUGGUCUAUUGGAAUAUCUGGACCCUUUUCCCAGCAUCAUGACAUCAUUUUCCUUCCAGACUUCGAUGUUAAAAAUAGUCUAGCAAAGCCUUUGAACCACUGUCUCCUUAAAACACAAUAUGGAUUGUAUGUGUGUUUAGCACUUUGAAGAAACACUCUGUGACAGGAGACAGGCUGGCCGACUGCCCCCUCGGAGGAUGCACAGGCUCAUUGCACUUACACUAAACAGACACGCACACACACUCAGGCUGCUCUUACGUGAGACAACCACUCCAAAGCCACGGCUCACGUGCCUUAAAACAGCCCUGUGAGGUGACCAGCACUCCAGACGACCACCCCGUGUUCUGUCUCCCAUUCAGGUAGCUUGAGAGCCUGAUCAGGCAGAAUUUUAAGAAGCUGCCAUUUUAAUAUUUCUAACAGCUUUUCUGUCUGGAUGGGCACAACACAUUUGGUUCGAGAAAAUGUUACUUUCUGGCUUCUCUAAAGCGAGGUGGUUGGCCUCCUCUGCUCUGGCGCCUUAACGAAGGCCUCUCCUGGAGACACUUCAUAGGCGGGACAGGCGCUGACAGGACAUGAGAACGUUUGCUGGAAGCCAACACACUUCCUGGGGGGCGCAAGGAUGGGGCACCGACCUGAGUCCUUGCGGUUCAUGAUACAGGAGGCCCCUCCGUCGGACUAGAACAUUCCAUCUCGGUCAGAUGACAGGACAAGAGCAAGCCCCUCAGUGGAAAACGGGUGUUUGACUGGAAAGCCCAGACCAGCUAGCUGGGCAGCCCUCCCAAAGCAGGUGCCCUGGCACAAAGGCGGCUGAUCCUUCAGCCUCGUGGGUAAGCAGCUUCCCUCAGAGAAACACAGAAGCUUGCCGGAGAUCCCGGGGGAGGGCUCGUCACAGCGCUGAGCAAAGGCACAUCAAACCCUGAAGAGCAGUUUUUAAAGCAAUGUGAGGUAGUGUGGCAUUCAGCGAAAGAAGUGGAUCCCCCUAGUUGUUUUUGGGGGAUGUGGGAAGCGGCAGGGAGGGCCUGACAUUUGCCAACACCACUGCGCCAACCCCAGGGGGCAGGGAUACCCCAGGAUACCCCAGGUCACCCGGUUAAAUUGGAAUUUCUGAUAAACAAUAAAGAAGGUCUUGGUGCAAGUAUGUCCCAAAUAUCACACUGCUGUUUCUCUGAAAUUCAACUUUAAUUGUGCGUGCGAUCUUUCUGUUGGCUGAAUCUGGCAACCUUGGCCUCACUGCAAAGUCUGCUGUGGGCCUCUACCUGCGCAAGGACCAGAGCCUUCUGCCCAUGAACCCAAGGAGGUGGUUGGGCCCAGCAAGGAUGAGGCUGGGGAAGAGGAAUGAUUCUUUAUUUAGUCAAGAGGGGGAAGAUAUAAAAGGACUGAUGCUGUAGGGAAAUAGGCGUGAGGAUGAAGGCCCAUGGAAUCUUAGCACUUGAACCCCUAGGUUCUUUGGGGCCUCCUGAGCCCUGGGGCAACUGGAUGAUCUCAUGUGUGAUUUUGGGUUUCUUUCUUUUCCCCAAAUCUGAAAUUAGCAGCAACCAGCACACAAGGUCCCACAACCAAGCUCUGGAGGUACCUCCUAACGGCCCCAGGUGACGGCUCUGGGCCUGGCCUUUCCCACUUGCAAAAGUUCACGUCCACCUCACACUACAGCAGAGACGACCAUGUGGGAGGAGAGGUGGCCGGCCCUCCUGCGAGAGCAGAGCCAGGGUGGCCUGAAAGUCAAGGGCCCUGCGGGUGGCUGUCACCACCACACCCUACUUGGGAGGCCUUGGGGCAGACCCAGUGCAGCAGCUAGUGCAACUCUUGUCAAACAGCAUCACGGCCACAGCCAGCAGGCGGUGGGGGUCCUCAGAAGAGCCCACCCCAGGCCAAGCAAAGGUAACCGGAGAAGUCCAGCUCCAGUACCACCGACCUCCAGGCCCUGACCCCUCUGGCCAGGGGCAUCCGCAGCUGCAGACCAUCCCCCGUCUGCCCUCUGAGUCUCCUGAGCUACCUCUGUGCACUCACCUCUCCCAGGAUCCCCGAAGAGGCAAAAAAGCCCUGGGUUUGGAGUGACUUUAGGGAGCAUCUAUGUGCUCCGAUUUCCUGUCAGCCCGCCUCCUUGAAGACACGAAGAACUCAUUCUUCCAUGGUCAGCUUCUUCUACCUCCGGUCAUUCCUUACACUGAGUCCAAACCCAUUGACUCUCACACCGUUACCCAGAACCUGGGGCCACCUGGAGCCCGUGUCACCCUUCUACUGUAUGAUACCUGUAUCAAUUUACAGGACAGUUCUCAACUCUGUGGGGAUAGAAGCAUGAAACAGUUUUAUUUUUUCCUCCAAUGAUUUUUUUUUUUUUAAAUUGAGGUGUAAUUGACAUAGAACUUUAAAGUUUUUUUUGUUUUUUGUUUUUGUUGUUUUUUUAAAUCAUCUCAACACUCAACAUGGGGCUUGAACUCACAACCAGCCAGGGGCCUGUGACAUUGAACUUUAGAUUAGUUUCAGCUGUACAACAUGAUUCACUAUUUGCAUAUAUUAUGAAAUGAUUAUCACGGGAAGGUCUUGUUAACCUCCCUCAUCACACCUAGUUACAAAUUUGUUUUUCCUGUGGUGAGAACAUUAAGAUCUACUCUCUUAGCAACUUUCAAAUAUGCAGUACAGUAUUAUUAACUAUACAUCAUGCUGUAUAUUACAUUACCAGGACUUAUUUAUUUUAUAGUGGGAAAUCUGUACCUUUACUCCCUUCACCCCCCCUUUGGUCCACCUUUUUUUUUUUUUUAAAUUCUACACAGAAGUGAGAUCAUAUAUUAUUAGCCUUUCUCUGUCUGACUCACUUCACCUAGCAUAAAGUCCAGUGGUAUUUUCUUUUUUUUUAAAUUAAUUCAUUUAUUUGAUAGAGAGAGACACAGUGAGAGAGGGAACACAAGCAGUUUAAGUGGGAGAGGGAGAAGCAGGCUUCCCACCAAGCAGGAAGCCCGAUGCAGGGCUCGAUCCCAGGACCCCAGGAUCAUGAACUGAGCCGAAAGCAGACGCUUAACGACUGAGCCACCCAGGUGCCCCAGUGGUUAUUUUCGAUGAUACUGUGUCAACUCUCCUAUUUCCUCCCCUUGAUGCCACUUUGAGUUCAUACCAUGGACUUAACCUCAAAUUCUAUUUCAGGCUCAUCUUCUCCCCUCCUCAAGGACUAACUUGAUCAGACCCUGAAUGUUUGCAGAGACAGGUCAGGGUUGAGCUCUGAAUCAGCUCCUGACCCUCAGGGCAGGGCUCCUCUGGCCUGUUGGGGAUGGCGCAGGGAGAGGGAAAAGAGCCGUUGUUUCUUUAGUUCACUGGGUCCCCAUGUAGUCCCUUUCCUAUUGGUUGCCUCCACUUCUUGGACUAAGAGUUAGGGGUAAGAUUAGGCCCAGCUAUACACCUCCUGCUGGUUGUUGAUGUUUUCUGGCUCACACCGAGUCGAUAUUGGUGCCCUUUGCGGGGUGGGCAUUUCAGGGGGGUUGUGUCUGAGUCCUUCAGAGCAGCCUGAGGGGGACUCCUUAUGGCUCAGUUCCCUGCUGUCUCUUUAGUGCCCUCAGCCUGUGCCCCCAGCAUACAGCUCCUGGCCCUGGGCAGGGGAGGCCCAUCUGCUGGGCAGUGACAGUGAGUGGGACAGUGGAGAACCAUCGCCAGCUCAGCUGCUCCCCCAGCUCCCCUCCCUGGGCCCACCGACACGCACAUAUCCCACCUCACCUUUUCUAUACGGUCCACUGGCUCAGGGAAUUUUGCUCAUUGUAAUCCCACAUGCACUGAACGCACAGGUGUGACCACACUCGGUAACCGGCAGCUGGAAUAGUCCACCUUUCUGAUAUUAAAAAGGGUAAAAAGGCCAAGGUCAUUCUGACAAAGUGGAACCUUGUACAAGAUUCGAAAUCACGGAAAAAGCAUAUGUGGCUGAGAGUCCUAUGGAGUUAUGCAAUUCUCGGGACAUCUACAUAUUAUCAAUCACUCCACACAAAUAAGGACACCCAAACUGGCCAAGAUGUUUGGGGCCAGCUGGGUGAGGCAACUCCCAGACCUCCGGGCAAUCCUAAAGGACAGCGCCAGGCUGCUUCACGGUAUGUUUUUCUCUCUUUCCACCCAAAACUUCAACUGAACUAUUACUCCACACUGAGUGUUAAUCCCAUAAAAUGCCUGAAACGUCAACGCAUUUGGAAUGAUUUGACUUUUAAAUGAGGAAAGUAUAUUUUCUCCUAACUCAGAAGGGGAUUAAAAUAAACUUUCCAAUAUGCUUGCAAACAAACAGAAAGCAGCACCUCGAAGCUGAGGCCAAACGUGCAAGUUGGAGCUCUAGCGACAGGAGAGGUGGUUCGUGUUGUCUGUCAAAGGAAUCGCGUUGCCAGCCCAUCCGAAACCCGCGGGAUCGCCCCGGGGUGGCUGGGCGCUGGCUUUCCGUUCUUUUCCCUCCCCUCCUUCUCUAGAUACCCCCUUUGGAUUAUUUUGAGUGAAAGUUACUUGAGGGGGGGAAUAUCUGGGUGGCUCAGUUGAGUAAGCGUCUGCCUUCGGCUCAGAUCACAAUUCUGGAGUCCUGGGAUCGAGCCCCAUGAAGGGAGCCUGCUUCUCCUACUCCCUCUGCUCCCCUGGCUUGCGCUCUCUCUCUCUCUCUCAAAUAAAUAAAUAAAAUCUUUAAAAAAAUAAAGUUACUUAAGAAACAGCAACAUAAGAAGGACAUUCUGACCCUCCUUGGUCCUCCUGAAAGCA